GAAGCAGCCUUCUCUAGCCCACCCAAGUUUCCAUCAAAGGAGCAAGCCUAGUAAGACAUUUUAUGUGUAUAAUGCUGCACUUCUCAUACAGCGAAUAUCAGAUGUAGAUAUCUAAGGUGCAAAUCUUAUGGUUGAUGUGCCUUUUUGAUCAUCUUUCUGUUGUAACCUUUUUUAAUCUUCUUGAAGUGUCAGUAAGAAGAAAGCUGGCUAACCGUCCCACCCCUUGUUUAACUCCUCCAGCCCAUCCCACAUCAUUGUAGAGUGAAGUGACACCGAAUAAUAACGAAGGCCUGUGUGCUUUGCAGCAGCCUCCACGUCACCCUCUUCCAGUGCUCCGUCAGAGGACUAACGAUAUGCCACAAGAUGAUUGGCAGCAAGACACACCCAGUGAUGAAGGGAUGUGCUCUCCUUAAAUCACAGCCUAUUCAUCAGGUACUCCUGAGUGCUGUGUUAAGAAAUCCUGCCUACAAAGUUCCACUGAGGCUGAUAUAAAGAUGACUGUGAGAAACUGGCUGCGGCUGUCUGAGCAGAGACAGGAAUGGGGGCGGCAAAGGCGGGACAAGCAAGCAUCUUAAGUGAAAUAAUUGAUUGGACUGAUUCUGGAGUAUGACUUAUUCUGGAGGGAAUUUCUUAUUUUUGUUGCAGUUUGCUAUGGGACGGUUUCAAGGACAGGGAUUAGACUAGUUCUAGACUAAAAUAAAUGUAAGAGCUGUCCAAACUGAAAACAACUUGCACUGACAUAUCAUAAAAUACAUCAGUGUCUUUUGUGAUGCUUCAAAAUGCACACAAGUAAUGUUUUUAUUAAGACAUGUUAUUAAAACUAGUUAUAUUUCAGAAUUAAACUAAGGCCUAGUCCCGGUUUAAGAUAAUCCCUGUCCGGGAAACCACCCCAAAGUGUAAUUUGUGGAGUGUUAAAAUAAAUGAAACUGCCUUUGCAAAAACAAAGUAAAAAAAAUUUUCCAGAUGCCCUUCUGUUUUGUUAUUUCUCCUGGAAAACUCACUGAUCCAUUUUUUUCUGUUAGACUGACAUUUACCAGGUUGUCAUAUUGUGUAUGAAAUACACCCUACACAUAACAAUCACUUACUUUCAAUUUAAACUUUUUUUGUCAUAAAACCUGGCAACUCAAAAGGAAGCGGCUGCAGACUGCGCAGCCACGGACGGAGUCUUGCAUGCAAGUGGGCUAGUUGCCUACUUCUCCACUAGCUCUUGUCAAAUUGUUAGGGAAGAAAUUUUAUGAUUAACACAACAUAAACUGUUAUUGAGGGUU